AUUGAACGCUGGCGGCAGGCCUAACACAUGCAAGUCGAGCGGAUGAAGGGAGCUUGCUCCUGGCUUCAGCGGCGGACGGGUGAGUAAUGCCUAGGAAUCUGCCUGGUCGUGGGGGAUAACGUCCGGAAACGGGCGCUAAUACCGCAUCCGUCCUGAGGGAGAACGUGGGGGAUCUUCGGACCUCACGCUAUCAGAUGAGCCUAGGUCGGAUUAGCUAGUUGGCGGGGUAAAGGCCUACCAAGGCGACGAUCCGUAACUGGUCUGAGAGGAUGAUCAGUCACACUGGAACUGAGACACGGUCCAGACUCCUACGGGAGGCAGCAGUGGGGAAUAUUGGACAAUGGGCGAAAGCCUGAUCCAGCCAUGCCGCGUGUGUGAAGAAGGUCUUCGGAUUGUAAAGCACUUUAAGUUGGGAGGAAGGGCAGUAAGUUAAUACCUUGCUGUUUUGACGUUACCAACAGAAUAAGCACCGGCUAACUUCGUG
rnacentral:rRNA from 1 species